rnacentral:rRNA from 1 species
GGGGGGGGGGGGGGGGGGGGGGGGGGGGGGGGGGGCGGGCGGGCGGACGGUGGGCGGGGGCCGUUACUGGUGGCGGGUGGCGGGCGGGUGAGGGAUGCGUCGGAUUCUGCUUUUUCGUGGGGGGCGACGGGGGGGAGCUUCCGAUAAUGCCUGCUACUAUGUACGGGGUAAAGCAGGAGACCUUGGGGCCUUUCGCUCUUGUAUGAGACGAUGUCGGGUUAGCUAGUUGGCGGGGUAAGUGCCAACCAAGGCAAGGCUCCGUAGCUGGGCUGCCAGGAUGAUCAGCCACACUGGAACUGAGACACGGUCCAGACUCCUACGGGAGGCAGCAGUGGGGAAUAUUGGACAAUGGGCGCAAGCCUGAUCCAGCCAUACCGCGUGGGUGAAGAAGGCCUUCGGGUUGUAAAGCCCUGUUGUUGGGAAAGAAAAGCAGCAGGUUAAUACCCCGCUGUUCUGACGGUACCCAAAGAAUAAGCACCGGCUAACUUCGUG